rnacentral:rRNA from 1 species
AUUGAACGCUGGCGGCAUGCUUUACACAUGCAAGUCGAACGGUAACAGGUUAAGCUGACGAGUGGCGAACGGGUGAGUAAUGCAUCGGAACGUGCCCGAUCGUGGGGGAUAACGCAGCGAAAGCUGCGCUAAUACCGCAUACGAUCUGAGGAUGAAAGCGGGGGACCGUAAGGCCUCGCGCGAUCGGAGCGGCCGAUGUCAGAUUAGGUAGUUGGUGGGGUAAAGGCUCACCAAGCCAACGAUCUGUAGCUGGUCUGAGAGGACGACCAGCCAGACUGGGACUGAGACACGGCCCAGACUCCUACGGGAGGCAGCAGUGGGGAAUUUUGGGCAAUGGGCGCAAGCCUGAUCCAGCAAUGCCGCGUGCAGGAAGAAGGCCUUCGGGUUGUAAACUGCUUUUGUACGGAGCGAAAAGGCUCCCUCUAAUACAGGGGGCUCAUGACGGUACCGUAAGAAUAAGCACCGGCUAACUACGUGCCAGCAGCCGCCGUAA